CAAGAAAUAGUUUAUAUAAAAUAUUAAUUUUGGAGAUUAAUGAUAAGGGUAUUUCCUUUUUCUUGA
rnacentral:tRNA from 1 species